CUCCGCCCCGCCCCUCGCCUGUCCAUCCACGGGAGGCGGGGCUGGAAGGGGGCUGGGCCGGGCCUGGAACCAAUCGGAAGCGGUGAAAGCGUGGGCGGUGUGUGAUGGACAAGCGGCAGGACGCUGGCGCCGCCGCUUCUUCCGUCUGGCAGCGGGACGCCGCGGCUACAGAGCGCACGCCCGGCCUCCGUCAGAGGGCCGCGUCCGCGCGCCGACCGUGUGCCCGCUAAUGGGAGGCGGGCGGAGACCCCUGGGGCCCGGCCGGAGGGGCGGGGGUGUCUCUCCCUGACCCAGUCGGGAGGAGGGGACCGCUUAGGCUGUUUUGUAAAAUGUGUUGGGGUGACCCUUCCCGCAAUUGCUCCUAGCCCUGGACAUAGAAUUGAGCCUGAGCUAGAUCCUCGUUUCUGCUGGAAACGCUGACUCUAUCUCUUAGCCCCUGGAUUGAAGCCGACUAGCGAUCGCAGACGUCCCUAACUGGUCUGUUGGGCUUCGCUGCCCUUUUCCAGGUUUCCUUUCUCUGCUCCCUUCUUGCGUCUAAUUUCAGCCAGAGAAAGCAAAGAUUUAGAAAAGAAGGAUUAAGAAAAAAAUGAGGUCACAGAUAAAUAUCGUGUCAAAACGAAGUGGACUUGAAACUGACCUCCAAGCACGAUGUCAUUAUUUAACUCGAAAAUCACAGCUCCUGCGUCCUACCAUUCUGCCAAUAUUCACAAGCCAAGAGGCUCAAUUUGCACCCUAGAAGGAAAAGUCUUUAAUGUUGCUUGAAUAGGGAAGGAGAGGGAAUAGUGGAACUAACCUUGCUGGGGGUGGUGGGAAGCAAACCACCUAAACACUGAAUGAAGCCUAUGAAACAAUGAAUGGAGUGCUUCUUGGAAAAGAAGCAGCAAAUUAAAUAUUUGCAAAUGAGUUAAUAGGAAAAUGUUUUGUAAAGUGUAAUGCCUUAUAUAAUGUAACACGAUAUUUCUAUCCCAAAUAUAUUUUGGUUUUUAUUA